UAUUAACAUCACUUUUAAAUGUUGUAAUAUUAUUUUUCAGAAGAAGCGAUAGAUGAUGAUACAUUCUCAAAAAUUAACACAGAUUCACAAGAUUUCAAAGAACUGAUUGCAAAGUAUGGGGACAGAAUUAAAUUUAAAGAAGGUUUUAGACAGUUGUACAAUAGAAUUGACGAAGAAAAUGUAAUAACAGAUAAUAACUGCUUAGAAACAAUAGUAGUUAAGACAAAUGAUGCUCCUAGUGAUACUUCAGUUUACAAAGAGACACAAGAACCCAUUCCCAGCACUAGUAAAGGCACGUGCUCUACAGUUUAUAGAGUGGAUGAUAAUUUACCUUUAGAUAUUGUACCGGUACCGUAUAAACGGUGUGAUUCGUUUUUGGAAAAACUUCCAAAUCUGGAAGUGACAUACGAGCUUGAUUUGAAAAAAUGUUUG